rnacentral:rRNA from 1 species
CGGAGAGGGAGCAUGAGAAAUUGCCCUUACAGCUAAGGUUGGCAGCAGGAGCGAAAACUUUUCUAACGAGCAACGCUUGAAAAGGUGACGAACUGUAUCAACGUCAGCACUAGUUGAUGAUUGAAAUGAGGUGGAUAUAGAUGAUUCACCGAGUAGCUAGUUCAGGGCAAGUCUGGUGCCAGCAGCCGCGGUAAUACCAGCUGAGCUAGGGAUGGGUAAUUUUGUUGCAGUAAAAACAUUCGUAGUCACUGUUGAAGUAUAUUCGAUCUCUUUCGAGUUCGAUGUUAACAUUCAAUUUUAACAAUCCGCGAUUAAAUUAGAACGAUCAAUUUACAAGAUGAAUACUAAAGCGUGGCAAAUCUGAAGAUACCUUAUUCUAAACGCAAUUUUGGAAAAAGGAAUAUAUGGUAAAAUAAGUGAGGACAGUGGUACUUAUCAGCUAGAGGUGAAAUUCAUAGAUUUGAUAAUGACCAACAACUGCAAAGGCAUCUGCCCAACUUAUAUUUGGUGAUUAAGAAUUAAAGUGUGGGGAUCGAAGAGGAUUAGAUACCCUCGUAGUCCACACCCUAAACUAUGUCAACUAGAGAUUGGUGAACGUCGAAUGCUUCAUCAGAACCUUAGCAGAUAUGAAAGUUUUUGGACUCUGGGGGAAGUAUGGUCGCAAGGGCGAAACUUAAAGGAAUUGACGGAACGGCACCACCAGGGGUGGAGCGUGCGGCUUAAUUUGACUCAACGCGGGGAACCUUGCUAGGGUAAGACAUUAAGAUGAUUGACAGAUUGCUUGGUUUUUCUUGAUUUAAU